GGAGGAAAGCAGGGGAUCGCAAGACCUCGCGCUAUUGGAGCGGCCGAUGUCCGAUUAGCUAGUUGGUGAGGUAAAGGCUCACCAAGGCUACGAUCGGUAGCUGGUCUGAGAGGAUGAUCAGCCACACUGGGACUGAGACACGGCCCAGACUCCUACGGGAGGCAGCAGUGGGGAAUUUUGGACAAUGGGCGCAAGCCUGAUCCAGCCAUGCCGCGUGAGUGAAGAAGGCCUUCGGGUUGUAAAGCUCUUUCGGCCGGAACGAAAUCAUCUGGGUUAACACCUCAGAUGGAUGACGGUACCGGAAGAAGAAGUACCGGCUAACUACGUGCCAGCAGCCGCGGUAAUACGUAGGGUGCAGGCGUUAAUCGGAAUUACUGGGCGUAAAGCGUGCGCAGGCGGCUUCCUAAGUCAGAUGUGAAAUCCCCGGGCUUAACCUGGGAACUGCGUUUGAAACUACAAGGCUAG
rnacentral:rRNA from 1 species